UACGUAGGGUGCAAGCGUUAAUCGGAAUUACUGGGCGUAAAGCGUGCGCAGGCGGUUUUGUAAGACUGUCGUGAAAUCCCCGGGCUUAACCUGGGAAUUGCGAUGGUGACUGCAAGGCUAGAGUUUGGCAGAGGGGGGUAGAAUUCCACGUGUAGCAGUGAAAUGCGUAGAGAUGUGGAGGAACACCGAUGGCGAAGGCAGCCCCCUGGGUCAAGACUGACGCUCAUGCACGAAAGCGUGGGGAGCAAACAGG
rnacentral:rRNA from 1 species